UGCCAGCAGCCGCGGUAAUACGGAGGGUGCAAGCGUUGUCCGGAUUUAUUGGGUUUAAAGGGUGCGUAGGCGGCUUUUUAAGUCAGUGGUGAAAUCCUGCAGCUCAACUGUAGAACUGCCAUUGAUACUGGAAAGCUUGAGUACAGACGAGGUAGGCGGAAUUUAUGGUGUAGCGGUGAAAUGCAUAGAUACCAUAAAGAACACCUAUAGCGAAGGCAGCUUACUAGACUGUAACUGACGCUGAGGCACGAAAGCGUGGGGAGCGAACAGGAUUAGAUA
rnacentral:rRNA from 1 species